rnacentral:pre_miRNA from 1 species
AAUAAGUGCAGUUUUGCACUAUUCAUGUUCAACGUUUGACCGUCCGUCUUAUUUGAAAAAUUUGUGAAAAAAUUAAAAACAUUUAGUCACACAUAGAGUACUAUUCAUGUUUUAUCAUCUAAUAGCAAUAAAAAUACUAAUUAUAAAAAAUUUUCAAAUAAGACGGACGGUCAAACGUUGAACAUGAAUAGUGCAAAACUGCACUUAUU